ACCAGGCAGAGGAAGAGAAGUGUCUUUCAAUUCUAAGACAUGUUUUUCUGCUUAUGUCAAGAUACCAACUUGUGGGCACAGCAUAUUGUCCUCCAGGUGUGGGGGUGGAAAAUCACCAGAAGGUAUCAGGAAGAAUGCGGACACCUUCCUUCGUUUUCCAGGCACCCAUGCCUGCCCAGCAUGAAACUGUAAACGAAUCCAGCCUUCUGUGUUAGCUGGGAGACUUCUCCCGUGGACCACGCACCAGCGGACCUCACAGGUCUCUUGUGAUCCUACUGACUCCGUCUUCACGGCCCUGGCUGUCAUUCUGCUCCAGGAGGCAAACACAGCCUCUGAGUCGAGGGCAGAAGUGGAUACAAAUGCCUCAAGAGGCGGAGGAGCUCCCUCAAGGGCAGGUGGCCCCCGUGCAAGAGGAGCAGCCCCA
rnacentral:lncRNA from 1 species